rnacentral:rRNA from 1 species
AGAGUUUGACCCUGGCUCAGGAUGAACGCUAGCGAAAUGCCUAACACAUGCAAGUCGAACGGAUCUUGCCUCGUAGUAAUACGGAGUAAGAUUAGUGGCAAACGAGCGAGUAACGCGUGCUUAACCUGCCCCGAAGAUGGGUAUAACUGCAGAGAUGUAGCUAAUUCCCAAUAUGCUCACGAUGGUGAAAUUCCAAUGUGAGGAAAGAUUUAUCGCUUCGGGAGAGUGGUGGGGUAAUGGCCUACCAAGCCUAUGACGGGUAACCGGUCUGAGAUGAUGUCCGGUCGCGAUGGGACUGAGAUACGGCCCAUACUCCUACGGGAGGCAGCAGUGGGGAAUCUUGCACAAUGGACGAAAGUCUGAUGCAGCAAUUUCGCGUGAAGGAUGAAGCAUUACGGUGUGUAAACUUCUUUUUUGGCAGAAGACGAAUGACGGUAUGUCAAGAAUAAGAGACGGCUAACUACGUGCCAGCAGCCGCGGUAAUACGUAGGUCUCAAGCGUUAUCCGGAUUUACUGGGCGUAAAGUGUCCGUAGUCUGAAUUGUAAGUCUGUUUUCAAAUCCUACGACUCAAUCGUAGAAAGGGAGUGGAUACUGCAAUUCUGGAAGUAUCUAGGGGUUAGUGGAAUUUCCGGUGGAGCGGUGAAAUGCGUUGAUAUCGGAAGGAACGCCGAAAGCGAAAGCAGCUAACUAUAGAAUACUUGACGAUGAGGGACGACAGUUCGGGUAGCAAACAGGAUUAGAUACCCUGGUAGUCCAAACCGUAAAUUAUGCUUGCUAGAUGUUUUUAUCAAUUUAUUGGUAGGAGUGUCGUAAUCUAACGAGUUAAGCAAGCCGCCUGGGUAGUAUAUUCGCAAGAAUGAAACUCAAAGGGAUAGGCGGGGGAACACACAAGCAGUGGAUUAUCUAGAUUAAUUGGAUAAUAAGCCAAGAAUCUUACCUAGGAUUGACAUGUAUUGUGUCUGCGGUGAAAGUCGCAUAUCCGUAGCAAUACGGAGCUUUACACAGGUGGUGCAUGGUCGUCGUCAGCUCGUGCCGCAAGGUGUCUAGUUAAGUCUGGAAACGAGCGCAACCCUCGUGUUUAGUUAGUAUGUCUAAAC